GACGAACGCUGGCGGCGUGCUUAACACAUGCAAGUCGAACGGAAAGGCCUGCUUUCCCUUGUGGAUUGCGGGUACUCGAGUGGCGAACGGGUGAGUAGCACGUGAGUGAUCUGCCCCCAACUUGGGUAUAAGCCUGGGAAACUGGGUCUAAUUCCCGAUAGGACUGCAGGGUGGUGCCUGUGGUGGAAAACGAUUUUCUAGUGGUUGGGGAUGAGCUCGCGGCCUAUCAGCUUGUUGGUGGGGUAAUGGCCUACCAAGGCGGCGACGGGUAGCCGGCCUGAGAGGGUGGACGGCCACAUUGGGACUGAGAUACGGCCCAGACUCCUACGGGAGGCAGCAGUGGGGAAUAUUGCACAAUGGGCGGAAGCCUGAUGCAGCGACGCCGCGUGGGGGAUGACGGCCUUCGGGUGGUAAACUCCUUUCGACCGCGAGGAAGCCACCUGGUUGGAAGGGUGGUGACGGUAGUGGUAGAAGAAGCACCGGCUAACUACGUG
rnacentral:rRNA from 1 species